AAGCAUUUGCCAAGGAUGU
rnacentral:ncRNA from 2 species